AUAACCGGCGAUUUCCGAAUGGGGAAACCCAGUGUGUUUCGACACACUAUCAUUAACUGAAUCCAUAGGUUAAUGAGGCGAACCGGGGGAACUGAAACAUCUAAGUACCCCGAGGAAAAGAAAUCAACCGAGAUUCCCCCAGUAGCGGCGAGCGAACGGGGAGGAGCCCAGAGCCUGAAUCAGUGUGUGUGUUAGUGGAAGCGUCUGGAAAGGCGCGCGAUACAGGGUGACAGCCCCGUACACAAAAAUGCACAUAUUGUGAGCUCGAUGAGUAGGGCGGGACACGUGGUAUCCUGUCUGAAUAUGGGGGGACCAUCCUCCAAGGCUAAAUACUCCUGACUGACCGAUAGUGAACCAGUACCGUGAGGGAAAGGCGAAAAGAACCCCGGCGAGGGGAGUGAAAAAGAACCUGAAACCGUGUACGUACAAGCAGUGGGAGCCUCUUUAUGGGGUGACUGCGUACCUUUUGUAUAAUGGGUCAGCGACUUAUAUUCUGUAGCAAGGUUAACCGAAUAGGGGAGCCGAAGGGAAACCGAGUCUUAACUGGGCGUUAAGUUGCAGGGUAUAGACCCGAAACCCGGUGAUCUAGCCAUGGGCAGGUUGAAGGUUGGGUAACACUAACUGGAGGACCGAACCGACUAAUGUUGAAAAAUUAGCGGAUGACUUGUGGCUGGGGGUGAAAGGCCAAUCAAACCGGGAGAUAGCUGGUUCUCCCCGAAAGCUAUUUAGGUAGCGCCUCGUGAAUUCAUCUCCGGGGGUAGAGCACUGUUUCGGCAAGGGGGUCAUCCCGACUUACCAACCCGAUGCAAACUGCGAAUACCGGAGAAUGUUAUCACGGGAGACACACGGCGGGUGCUAACGUCCGUCGUGAAGAGGGAAACAACCCAGACCGCCAGCUAAGGUCCCAAAGUCAUGGUUAAGUGGGAAACGAUGUGGGAAGGCCCAGACAGCCAGGAUGUUGGCUUAGAAGCAGCCAUCAUUUAAAGAAAGCGUAAUAGCUCACUGGUCGAGUCGGCCUGCGCGGAAGAUGUAACGGGGCUAAACCAUGCACCGAAGCUGCGGCAGCGACACUAUGUGUUGUUGGGUAGGGGAGCGUUCUGUAAGCCUGUGAAGGUGGCCUGUGAGGGUUGCUGGAGGUAUCAGAAGUGCGAAUGCUGACAUAAGUAACGAUAAAGCGGGUGAAAAGCCCGCUCGCCGGAAGACCAAGGGUUCCUGUCCAACGUUAAUCGGGGCAGGGUGAGUCGACCCCUAAGGCGAGGCCGAAAGGCGUAGUCGAUGGGAAACAGGUUAAUAUUCCUGUACUUGGUGUUACUGCGAAGGGGGGACGGAGAAGGCUAUGUUGGCCGGGCGACGGUUGUCCCGGUUUAAGCGUGUAGGCUGGUUUUCCAGGCAAAUCCGGAAAACCAAGGCUGAGGCGUGAUGACGAGGCACUACGGUGCUGAAGCGACAAAUGCCCUGCUUCCAGGAAAAGCCUCUAAGCAUCAGGUAACAUCAAAUCGUACCCCAAACCGACACAGGUGGUCAGGUAGAGAAUACCAAGGCGCUUGAGAGAACUCGGGUGAAGGAACUAGGCAAAAUGGUGCCGUAACUUCGGGAGAAGGCACGCUGAUAUGUAGGUGAAGCGACUUGCUCGUGGAGCUGAAAUCAGUCGAAGAUACCAGCUGGCUGCAACUGUUUAUUAAAAACACAGCACUGUGCAAACACGAAAGUGGACGUAUACGGUGUGACGCCUGCCCGGUGCCGGAAGGUUAAUUGAUGGGGUUAGCGGUAACGCGAAGCUCUUGAUCGAAGCCCCGGUAAACGGCGGCCGUAACUAUAACGGUCCUAAGGUAGCGAAAUUCCUUGUCGGGUAAGUUCCGACCUGCACGAAUGGCGUAAUGAUGGCCAGGCUGUCUCCACCCGAGACUCAGUGAAAUUGAACUCGCUGUGAAGAUGCAGUGUACCCGCGGCAAGACGGAAAGACCCCGUGAACCUUUACUAUAGCUUGACACUGAACAUUGAGCCUUGAUGUGUAGGAUAGGUGGGAGGCUUUGAAGUGUGGACGCCAGUCUGCAUGGAGCCGACCUUGAAAUACCACCCUUUAAUGUUUGAUGUUCUAACGUUGGCCCGUAAUCCGGGUUGCGGACAGUGUCUGGUGGGUAGUUUGACUGGGGCGGUCUCCUCCUAAAGAGUAACGGAGGAGCACGAAGGUUGGCUAAUCCUGGUCGGACAUCAGGAGGUUAGUGCAAUGGCAUAAGCCAGCUUGACUGCGAGCGUGACGGCGCGAGCAGGUGCGAAAGCAGGUCAUAGUGAUCCGGUGGUUCUGAAUGGAAGGGCCAUCGCUCAACGGAUAAAAGGUACUCCGGGGAUAACAGGCUGAUACCGCCCAAGAGUUCAUAUCGACGGCGGUGUUUGGCACCUCGAUGUCGGCUCAUCACAUCCUGGGGCUGAAGUAGGUCCCAAGGGUAUGGCUGUUCGCCAUUUAAAGUGGUACGCGAGCUGGGUUUAGAACGUCGUGAGACAGUUCGGUCCCUAUCUGCCGUGGGCGCUGGAGAACUGAGGGGGGCUGCUCCUAGUACGAGAGGACCGGAGUGGACGCAUCACUGGUGUUCGGGUUGUCAUGCCAAUGGCACUGCCCGGUAGCUAAAUGCGGAAGAGAUAAGUGCUGAAAGCAUCUAAGCACGAAACUUGCCCCGAGAUGAGUUCUCCCUGA
rnacentral:rRNA from 1 species